rnacentral:lncRNA from 1 species
GGGUUGUACUAAACACCUUGCCUAAAAAUAAUUAGGUUCGUUUUAAUUUUCAUAAAAUUUUGACAAAAAGUUUUCUUUUAUUUUAAAAUAGGCAAUGCUCUGUUGCUACAGCAACAAGAUGGCUGCCCCAAUCUAAAAAGACAAAGGAUUUCUGCACAUAAAAAUAAAUGUGGAUUUUGGAUUCACUAGUAUAUUGCCUAUUCAAUCGAUAGCCAAGGGUUGAGAUCGAGAUCAGUUCGAAACAAAAAAAAAAUCUUUUUCUUCAGAAGAAAAUACUGUUUGAUAAAAUAAUUUUGUUGGAUCUCAGUUUUUGUAGGGCCUAAAAUAAAAUAUUGUUUGUUUCCCCAAUCCCGACCGACCCGACAAAAAUGGUGCUACUCAUAAAAUUCUAUUGUCAAAACCAAGUCAAGUAUUAUUUUAUUCCUCAUUGUUCAUUUUGGAUUUUCAGGAUUGCCGGAUCAUCCAAUAAUGUUCAAGCUUUUUGGAAAAAUAAAAUCAUUUCCCUACUUACCUAGCCACACCUGCCUAGGCAAGGUCGGGAUUGGGGAAACAAACAGUAUAUUAAUUUAGGCCUAGUUGAAUACAAAAAUUGCAACUUCAAAGGUACCUUAUUUUGUAAUUUACAUUUUUCUGCUAUCCAUGAACAUUUUAACUUAACAAAAACUGUCAAUUAGUUCAGGAUUUGUUCACUGAUGAAAUCCCCAAUAGUUGGUAUACAAUGGUUUUUUUUAUAAAUUCACAUUAAUAUUCAAUAAAAUAAUAUAGUUUUACAUACAAAUACACACAAGCACCAUGAAGUACAAACUAAA